rnacentral:tRNA from 1 species
GCACAAGUGGUAGAAUAAUACCUUGCCACGGUACAGCCCCGGGUUCGAUUCCCAGCUGGUGCA